UUACUUACCUUGCAGGGGGAAUACCACGAUCAAGAAGGUGGUUUCCCCAGCGUGAGGCUCUUUCAUUGCACAUUUUGGUUAGGUUGACCCCUGUGAUUUCCCCACCUUUGAUUUUUAAACAAGACACAUCUUUGUUGAAUUAUCAGUUUUGAAAUAGGC